rnacentral:misc_RNA from 1 species
GUAUUGAUUUUAACAUUCUACACUAUCACAUUUUAAAACAGGUGUACAUGUGAGAACGCAAGCCGCCCUUUUUAAAAGGGAGCCCACGCGGUGAUGCACAAAGGGUGAGUUGGAUUGUAAGUGAGAGCGCUCGAGGCGUGCACGACCUUAAAGGUCAGCGACAGCCCCGGCACCCCCUGUUGUACGAUAAUGAUCCUUCCGCAGGUUCACCUACGGAAA